AUUGAACGCUGGCGGCAGGCCUAACACAUGCAAGUCGAACGGUAACAGGCAACAGUUUGCUGUUUCGCUGACGAGUGGCGGAUGGGUGAGUAAUGUCUGGGCAACUGCCUGCUGGAGGGGGAUAACUACUGGAAACGGUAGCUAAUACCGCAUAACGUCGCAAGCCCAAUGGGGGGGACCCUGGGGCCUCUUGCCAUCGGAUGUGCCCAGAUGGGCUUAGCUUGGUGGUGGGGUAACGGCUCACCAAGGCGACGAUCCCUAGCUGGUCUGAGAGGAUGACCGGCCGCACGGGAGCGGAGACACCGACCAGACGCCUACGGGAGGCAGCAGUGGGGAAUGUGACACAGUAGGCGCAAGCAUGAUGCAGCCAGGCCGCGUGUAUGAAGAAGACCUUCGGGUUGUAAAGUACUUUCAGCGGGGAGAAAGCGAGUAAAGUUAAUACCUUUGCUCAUUGACGUUACCCGCAGAAGAAGCACCGGCUAACUCCGUG
rnacentral:rRNA from 1 species